UGGUUGCACGCGGGGAAAAAAAAAAUAAAAUGAGAAAAAAAAAAUCAAUAAGCUCGUGGAGUUUAUGUUUUCAGAGGUACCUGCUGGUCGCUGGCUCCUCUGGGCUGGGCAGCUCCCAGCCCUACACAUUCAGGAGAGAUGGAACACCUUUGGUUCCCACAGCAAGGCACAGAUCUGGAAUUACUCCAGCAGGAAGAAAGAGAAAGCCAGAAAGCUGGAGGGGAAGAAAAUGUGCAAGGAAAGGAGGGAGAAAGCAGAAGAUGGUGCCUGAGCCCUUUACAGUGCUCACUCCACUCCCAGCACAGCCAUCAUCCUUGUGGGACAGGGUCACCCCUUGCACCCCUUGUGCUUCCUCCACCAAACCCAGGGCAGCCUCAGCCAACACCCUCAACAAUGAAGGGUGUGCUUCGUCUCUUUAAUUGGAAUGAGGAUUAAUCCGAUAUUGCGUGAGGAACGAUUUUGUGCAACAGGACACCAAAAACACAGGGAAGAGUGGCCAGUGUGACAAAAAUGACUCGAUUUAACCAAAUAUCCC